GUUAUCAGAGGGUGUUGGAGACUAUAGGACGUCGUGGCAGCUUUCCUGGGGGAUUUUGCCGACGUCUUCCCCGGACAUGAGGAAGACCGGGACCUUCUGGGGAUCUGGACUGGACGGAGACGCUUUUUAGUCCGCCUGCGAUCCGACCCUACGGACUGCAAAUGAGACACAUCCGGAUCCACGCAGGAGAGAGCCCCAUCAAGCGCAGCGAAUGUGGCAAGAGUGUCACAGUGAAGUCCACCUUGGACCACCACGUCAAGACUCAUUUAGGGCUGCAUGUCUAGCUUCUCUCUUAUUUUGUCUGAUAGGCCUGUGUCUGUCUCCUUCACUUCUUCCUCUUCACUGCAUGCUACAUGCAAAGAUGAAACUGUAGGUUCAUGAGCCCUAUGUUCUUAACUUGAGAAACACACUGUGCAUGCUGCUAGAUUAGUCAGAUCUGAGAUCAGAAUUGGAUUUGGUCCAUGCUCCUUCUAAAUUUUAAUUCUAUAGUACAUUAAGGAAGCCUGCUCCUAUUAUCGCACUGAAUUCCUUUAAGUGAAUGCCUUUAACAGUUUGUAACCAUUUUAUGAGGCGCUGCAGUUAUCCUAUUUUUUUCUUCAAAUGUGUUCACAGACUGAAAAAAAUCAUGAAAUGAA